rnacentral:rRNA from 1 species
AAAUUGAAGAGUUUGAUCAUGGCUCAGAUUGAACGCUGGCGGCAGGCCUAACACAUGCAAGUCGAACGGUAACAGGAAGCAGCUUGCUGCUUUGCUGACGAGUGGCGGACGGGUGAGUAAUGUCUGGGAAACUGCCUGAUGGAGGGGGAUAACUACUGGAAACGGUGGCUAAUACCGCAUAACGUCGCAAGACCAAAGAGGGGGACCUUCGGGCCUCUUGCCAUCAGAUGUGCCCAGAUGGGAUUAGCUUGUUGGUGAGGUAACGGCUCACCAAGGCGACGAUCCCUAGCUGGUCUGAGAGGAUGACCAGCCACACUGGAACUGAGACACGGUCCAGACUCCUACGGGAGGCAGCAGUGGGGAAUAUUGCACAAUGGGCGCAAGCCUGAUGCAGCCAUGCCGCGUGUAUGAAGAAGGCCUUCGGGUUGUAAAGUACUUUCAGCGGGGAGGAAGGUGUUGUGGUUAAUAACCACAGCAAUUGACGUUACCCGCAGAAGAAGCACCGGCUAACUCCGUGCCAGCAGCCGCGGUAAUACGGAGGGUGCAAGCGUUAAUCGGAAUUACUGGGCGUAAAGCGCACGCAGGCGGUCUGUCAAGUCGGAUGUGAAAUCCCCGGGCUCAACCUGGGAACUGCAUUCGAAACUGGCAGGCUUGAGUCUUGUAGAGGGGGGUAGAAUUCCAGGUGUAGCGGUGAAAUGCGUAGAGAUCUGGAGGAAUACCGGUGGCGAAGGCGGCCCCCUGGACAAAGACUGACGCUCAGGUGCGAAAGCGUGGGGAGCAAACAGGAUUAGAUACCCUGGUAGUCCACGCCGUAAACGAUGUCUACUUGGAGGUUGUGCCCUUGAGGCGUGGCUUCCGGAGCUAACGCGUUAAGUAGACCGCCUGGGGAGUACGGCCGCAAGGUUAAAACUCAAAUGAAUUGACGGGGGCCCGCACAAGCGGUGGAGCAUGUGGUUUAAUUCGAUGCAACGCGAAGAACCUUACCUGGUCUUGACAUCCACGGAAGAAUUCAGAGAUGGAUUUGUGCCUUCGGGAACCGUGAGAC